UGGGGAAUAUUGGACAAUGGGCGAAAGCCUGAUCCAGCAAUACCGCGUGUGUGAAGAAGGCCUUCGGGUUGUAAAGCACUUUAAGUUGGGAAGAAAAAGCUUCACCUAAUACGUGAAGCCUUGACGGUACCGACAGAAUAAGCACCGGCUAACUCUGUGCCAGCAGCCGCGGUAAUACAGAGGGUGCUAGCGUUAAUCGGAUUUACUGGGCGUAAAGCGUGCGUAGGUGGUUUGAUAAGUCGAUUGUGAAAGCCCCGGGCUUAACCUGGGAAUUGCGGUCGAUACUGUCAGACUCGAAAACGGUAGAGGGAGGUGGAACUCCAGGUGUAGCGGUGAAAUGCGUAGAUAUCUGGAAGAACACCGAUGGCGAAGGCAGCCUCCUGGGCCUGUUUUGACACUGAGGCACGAAAGCGUGGGUAGCAAACAGGAUUAGAUACCCUGGUAGUCCACGCCGUAAACGAUGAGAACUGGACGCUGGGUGGGUAACCACUCGGUGUCGGAGCUAACGCGUUAAGUUCUCCGCCUGGGGAGUACGGCCGCAAGGUUG
rnacentral:rRNA from 1 species